rnacentral:rRNA from 1 species
AAAUGGUCAAGCUAAUAAGAGCAUAGGGUGGAUGCCUUGGCACUAAGAGCCGAUGAAAGACGUGAUAAGCUGCGAAAAGCUUCGGGGAGGAGCAAAUAUCCUUUGAUCCGGAGAUAUCUGAAUGGGGAAACCCAGCUGGAAAGACUCCAGUUACUGCAUGGUGAAUACAUAGCCAUGCAGAGGGAACCCGGGGAACUGAAACAUCUAAGUACCCGGAGGAAAAGAAAGAAAACUCGAUUUCCAAAGUAGCGGCGAGCGAAAUGGAAGGAGCCUAAACCGGAAUGCGUGCAUUCCGGGGUUAUGGACCGCAACAAGUGACACGUAUGAUAGCAGAAGGGUUUUGGGAAAGCCCGCCAGAGAGAGUGAAAGCCUCGUAUGCGAAAUCAGAAGUGAGCGAGCGGGAUCCAAAGUACCACGAGACACGAGAAACCUUGUGGGAAUUCGGGGGGACCACCCCCCAAGGCUAAAUACUACUUAGUGACCGAUAGCGCAUAGUACUGUGAAGGAAAGGUGAAAAGAACCCCGGGAGGGGAGUGAAAGAGAACCUGAAACCUUAUGUUUACAAGCUGUGGAACAACUAUUUAAAGUUGAACCGCGUACUUUUUGUAGAACGGUCCGGCGAGUUACGCUGGCUGGCAAGGUUAAUUACUUAAGGUAAGGAGCCGAAGGGAAACCAAGUCUUAAUAGGGCGCAGAGUCAGUCAGAGUAGACCCGAAACCGGGUGAUCUAUCCAUGUCCAGGUUGAAGUUGCCGUAAAAGGCAAUGGAGGACCGAACACACAUCCGUUGAAAAGGGUGGUGAUGAGGUGUGGAUAGGGGAGAAAUUCCAAUCGAACCCGGAGAUAGCUGGUUCUCCUCGAAAUAGCUUUAGGGCUAGCCUCGAUAGAGUCUUGCGGAGGUAGAGCACUGAAUUUCCUAGGGGGCGUCAAAGCUUACCGAAGAAUAUCAAACUCCGAAUGCCGUACAGAUGCUUAUCGGGAGUCAGACUACACGAGAUAAGUUGGGUAGUCAAAAGGGAAAGAGCCCAGACCACCGGCUAAGGUCCCAAAGUGUGUGUUAAGUGGAAAAGGAUGUGGGAUUUCGAAGACAACUAGGAUGUUGGCUCAGAAGCAGCCAUACAUUAAAAGAGUGCGUAAUAGCUCACUAGUCGAGAGGUCCUGCGCCGAAAAUGUCCGGGGCUAAAACACAACACCGAAGCCGUGGAAUGCACGAAUGUGCAUUGGUAGAGGAGCAUUCUUAAAGCGACGAAGCAGUACCGUAAGGAGCUGUGGAGCGUUAAGAAGAGAGAAUGCCGGAAUGAGUAGCGAGAGGAAAGUGAGAAUCUUUCCGGCCGAAUAUCUAAGGUUUCCAGAGUAAAGCUGAUCUGCUCUGGGUAAGUCGGGGCCUAAGGCGAGGUCGAAAGACGUAGUCGAUGGACAACAGGUUGAUAUUCCUGUACUGCAAUAUAACAGAACUGUGGGGACACAGGGAGAAAGUC